rnacentral:piRNA from 1 species
UAAACAAGCAAAACAAUUUCAGGUUCUC